UACGUAGGGUGCGAGCGUUGUCCGGAAUUAUUGGGCGUAAAGAGCUCGUAGGCGGUUUGUCACGUCUGCUGUGAAAUCCCGAGGCUCAACCUCGGGCCUGCAGUGGGUACGGGCAGACUGGAGUGCGGUAGGGGAGAUUGGAAUUCCUGGUGUAGCGGUGGAAUGCGCAGAUAUCAGGAGGAACACCGAUGGCGAAGGAAGAUCUCUGGGCCGUAACUGACGCUGAGGAGCGAAAGCGUGGGGAGCGAACAGG
rnacentral:rRNA from 1 species